rnacentral:lncRNA from 1 species
CGUAAGCUAAUGUGGUUCUCAAGCACUACCUUGUCGGCUGAGGGAGGGCGCCCCCCUGUGAUGGGAGAGAGGCUGAGGGCUGCACCGGCUGCUGCGAUGAUGCUUGUUGCUGCAUGCGAUCCUGAAGGCUUCGUGCUUUUCGAAUACUGAUUUGCAACUUCUUAUCGACUAGGGCUCUGCUGUGCGUGCUAGAGCUGGCAUCAUGCAGGAUGCAGCGACUCUUCAAAUAUUGAAUUUGCCUCUUGCAAGGACCUUUCAAAGCCGUCACUCCUCCCUGAAAGGGCCAGCACUUUCAUUUUUAUUAUAGUUAAUUCCAACUUCUCCUCUGUACUGCUUCUUCUCUUUGGGACACAGAUCCUUGUUGUUAAGCCUCUGGUCUACUUUUUAUCUACCUGCCCAUUGCUAUUAAGAAGGCUUUAGAACAACUAAGGAAUCCAUUUUUGCCUUAACUGAAAUCUAACCAAGGCCAGGAAAAGGUGGGGGUGGGAAUACCAUGACUGCCAUACUACUAUCCCAGCUCUAAUACCUCCUUUCAAGGAAAGAACAAAGUGUUGUCCAUAGUAGCAACAGAACUCUCGUGCCUAGAACUGAACUG